rnacentral:lncRNA from 1 species
CCAUAUUUCCCAGUUUAGUGAGUAGUAAGAAGAUAGUGGAGUCGGCUUGACAAUGGGAAUAAAUAGGGAUAGAAGCAGUUGGCCAAGAGAAGAAAUGAAAUAUACUACUACAUUUCAUUUAUUAUAGAAUUUUAUUGAAUAAUCACAUUCCUGCUUAAUGUUUCCAUUAACAAAUAUGGCACAACUAUAAACAACUUACUGAUAAAAAAGACACAUUAAUUAAGAAAGUAAUGAAAAGUAAACUAUAAAACUAAAGGAUGAUAAGAUGAAUUAAGAGGUUCAAGUAGAGAUAUGCAGUUUUUUUGUGGUGGGGGUUUUAUGAGGCAUAUGGUGGAGUACUAGCUAGAGGCUGUAUGGCGCAAUAGGAGGAGUUAUAGAAAAAAUAAGUAUAGAGAAAUGGGAACGAACUACACAUAGAGAGAAAUUUUAUGGAGGAACAGGAUGAUGAAAUACAAGGAAAGGUGAUAUAGAGUAAUAUGAGAUAUAGGGAGAGGUUCUAUGGAGUAAUAGGAGGAGUUAUAGAGAGAGGUUAUAUGGAGUAAUAGGAGGAGUUAUAGGGAGAGGUUAUAUGGAGUAAUAGGAGGAGUUAUAGGGAGAGGUUAUAUGGAGUAAUAGGAGGAGAUAUAGGGAGAGGUUAUAUGGAGUAAUAGGAGGAGUUAUAGGGAGAGGUUAUAUGGAGUAAUAGGAGGAGUUAUAGGGAGAGGUUAUAUGGAGUAAUAGGAGGAGUUUAUAGGGAGAGGUUAUAUGGAGUAAUAGGAGGAGUUAUAGGGAGAGGUUAUAUGGAGUAAUAGGAGAUGUUAUAGAGAGAGGUUAUAUGGAGUAAUAGGAGGAGUUAUAGGGAGAGGUUAUAUGGAGUAAUAGGAGGAGUUAUAGAGAGGUUAUAUGGAGUAAUAGGAGGAGUUAUAGGGAGAGGUUAUAUGGAGUAAUAGGAGGAGUUAUAGAGAGGUUAUAUGGAGUAAUAGGAGGAGUUAUAGGGAGAGGUUAUAUGGAGUAAUAGGAGGAGUUAUAGAGAGAGGUUAUAUGGAGUAAUAGGAGGAGUUAUAGAGAGAGGUUAUAUGGAGUAAUAGGAGGAGUUAUAGGGAGAGGUUAUAUGGAGUAAUAGGAGGAGUUAUAGAGAGAGGUUAUAUGGAGUAAUAGGAGGAGUUAUAGAGAGAGG